CACGUAGGGUGCGAGCGUUAAUCGGAAUUACUGGGCGUAAAGCGUGCGCAGGCGGUUUUGUAAGCCAGAUGUGAAAUCCCCGGGCUUAACCUGGGAAUGGCAUUUGGGACUGCAAGGCUGGAGUGUGGCAGAGGAGACUGGAAUUCCUGGUGUAGCAGUGAAAUGCGUAGAUAUCAGGAGGAACACCGGUGGCGAAGGCGGGUCUCUGGGCCGUAACUGACGCUGAGGAGCGAAAGCGUGGGGAGCGAACAGG
rnacentral:rRNA from 1 species